GAUGAACGCUAGCGGCAGGCUUAACACAUGCAAGUCGAGGGGCAGCAUGAAGGUUAGCAAUAACCUUUGAUGGCGACCGGCGCAAGGGUGCGUAACGCGUGAGCAACUUUCCCGUUACUCAGGGAUAGCCUUCCGAAAGGGAGAUUAAUACCUGAUGGUGUUUGAAAUUCGCAUGUUCUUCAAACUAAAGAUUUAUCGGUAACGGAUAGGGAUGCGUGACAUUAGCUAGAUGGCGGGGUAACGGCCCACCAUGGCUACGAUGUCUAGGGGUUCUGAGAGGAAGGUCCCCCACACUGGAACUGAGACACGGUCCAGACUCCUACGGGAGGCAGCAGUGGGGGAUAUUGCACAAUGGAGGAAACUCUGAUGCAGCAACGCCGCGUGAGGGAAGAAGGUUUUCGGAUUGUAAACCUCUGUUUUAGUGAAGAAACAAAUGACGGUAGCUAAAGAGGAAGCCACGGCUAACUACGUG
rnacentral:rRNA from 1 species